CAAAAGAAACUCACAUUACCAUUGAUCCAUCUGAUUCAGUCUCUGUUGGCACUAAUGUGACUUUGACCUGCAAAAACAAAGCCAGUCCAAAUGAAAUGAACUACACUUGGUAGAAACGUGGACAGGAGAAAGAGCUGGAUUUUGGAGAACAACUAACCUUCAGUGUAAAUAAUAAAAGUGGAGGCUGGUACUUCUGCAAAGCAAAGAACAUACAUGGUAAUCAGACGUCAGAAGAGAUCCAGCUGAUUGUGGCAGAAUCAUCUGUGGCUUUGAUCGCAGGCUGUGUAGGAGGAGUUUCAGCUUUACUGUUGGUGUUUCUUCUGGCAACACUUUUAAAAAGGGCACAACAGGCAAAGGCAUCCAGUGAAUCCACUGUUAGGGAACCUGACCAUUCAGAUCAGAUUGACGCCAUUUAUGUUAAUGAUUUCAUAAGAAGAAAGUGAAAGGCGGUGUAUUGACAAUUACAUAAUCCUCUAUGGAGCGAUUGACUUUUCCAGCCUUCAGACAACUGCAACAGUGAACACCACUAUUAUUCAGCAUCAGAAUCAUAAACAAGUUGUAGCAUAUCAGAGCGAAUCAGACAAUUUGAGAUUCGAUCAGAACAUUGUUGGAACCCAAAGAGCCGAAUUCCACAAUGGAUGAUUGUAAUUCAGGCUCUAGUUCUAGCCAGCCUGAAAUAGGCUUAACUAACCAACUCCGACUAGCGGCUUUGAACAGCUUCCAACAUCGACACAAAAGAACACUUAUUGACAAUUCCAACUCAUGAAGGAGAUUGUCAAUUUUGGGGCAAGACACAGCACAUCAUGACCAUCACAUGAGGAAAAUCGUUAGUAGAGACUGUUGGGUGGUUUCCCCCACCCAAGACAAGGACCAGACUGAGAUUCCUUCUAUACCCUUUUGACCUUUUCUUUCCUGGCAGAACACACCCUUAUGUUCACAGAAUGACACAGACUCUUUUGUAUAUACAUUUUAUGCUUAAAAGGACUUAUAAAUGAAUAUCAGUCCAUUGCAUAACUCCCUAUCAUAUAUGUAACCCACACAUUUGACUAUCAUAUCCUGAUCACUCAUUGUGUAUGUCUUUUGAAUAACUAUUGAAUAGUUUAUAGGUUUAUAUUCAUGUUGGGAAUGUGUGAGUUUGAAUAUUCAUGCUUUAAAAAGCUUUUAUAAUAUCAUUCAAUUAUUUGUAAAAGGAAUUAUAUUCUUGUUAUAGAAAUCACAUCCAAAUUAUACUCUGCAAGAACGGGAAAAUUCGGACCAAGAUAAAAUCACAAUCAAUUCCCUUUGAGCUAAAUUGACCUGUUUCCCUUACAAUGUUAUAAAAAUGAAAAGAAUGUCAUCUUCUUAAAUAAUAUACAAAUGUGCAUCUUUCACUGGUUAGAAAAAUUGAUAACACUUUCACAGUAAGGGUGCAUUGGUUAACAUUAGUUGAAGGGGUCAUGAACUGACUUUUUUUAAAUGAUUUUUACCAUUCUCUGAAGGCCACUUAUAAUAUAUCAAGAUUUGUGUCCAAAAGCUGAGAUUAAAAACUCAGGACACCAUAAAAUUAUGCACCUAGCCGUUGCUCUUAGCCAUCGCCUCAGCAGUUGCUUUUAGCCAUGCUUAGGCCAUUGCUUCAUGCUUUUUGCUAUCACUGCUUUUUGAGUUCUUUGAGCACUCCCUGGCUUGCAUGCCAGCCACUUCCCUAAAAAAAAAAACCAAGAGGAUCGUUAAACUUCUUUUUCUUUAGCUUCUCUUUUCUUUCCGUUGAGAGUUUUGUGUUCUAAGUUUUGUCGCAAACCUAAAACUUCAACCAUUUGAUAUAAAGUUUAAUAGCAUCAUCAUACUGUCGGAUCCAAUAUAAUCAGCACAGCAUCGUCACAGUGUUUUUUUUUUUGUUGUUGUUGUUGUUGUUUUUUUUAUAGUACAAUGACCUAUUAUAUGUCAAAAGAUCCAUGGAAUUUUGAUUUAUCAGUUCAUGAUCCCUUUAAUGCAUUAACUAUUUCCUAAAAAUGAACAAGACAUUUGUUACAUUAAUUUAUGAAAUGCAACUGUUAGUUAAUGUUAGGUCCAUUAAAGAGUAGGUCAUAUGGUAUUUUAAAGUGUCCUAAUAUUGUGUUGGAGCCCCCUACAACAGGUUUAAAUGCAAAAAAAAAAAUUACAAAAAAAACAUUGUAAUUUUUUUUUAUAGAAUAUACAUUUAAUAUUAAAAUUACUCAAUUAUUUCGAAACAGU